AAGCGCUUGGAGCCAGACGUGCCCGUGGAUGCUCAGCCGGGAUCUCUUCCCGGCGCACUCUUCCGCGGGCAGGCCAGCAUCAGUCUGGGCGGUCGGAUAAAAGCCCGCUAAACGUACCUCCCCCUCAGGAGGACUUAUAGGGUGGGUGGCAUACGACCAGCCCAGAUUGAGGACCGCGCAUCUGCUAGGAUGCUGGCGCAAUGGCUGUAAGCGG
rnacentral:rRNA from 1 species